AGGCUCAGCCCAAACCACGUUUCUUUUCCCGGUGCAGCUUAUGUUGAAGAGGGAGUUUGCCUGCAGGACGAACUCUUCCUGGUUGGACACUAUGGUCGGCGGCGACAGUCCACAGCUUUAAUUUCUCAGAGGCAGUGUGUCAAAGAUGAAUCCAAAGGCCUUGACCCACACAUUAGGUCGAGGCAGAUGUCUACCCUUCCUGAUCACGGUUCUGCUGGAGGUUUCUUCCUGUGUAAAGAGUUUUUUUUCAUCACACUGGCAACAAAGAGCUUGUUUAAAGGGAAUCAUUUUGAUUUGUGGGAUUUCUCCUUAUAUUAUUGGAAGGUUUUUACAUUACAACAUGACGGAAACUGAACUGAAUUUGAAUUGUCAUUGUGAGUGUGUUAACAAGCUGUGCUGUAGGAUGUAUCUCAAGGCAUCAACUGUGUCCUGGUGUCAUUCUAAAAUAAACAGAUAAAAAUA